AGCUUUUCUAUGCAUUUAUUUGUCUAUUAUCGUUUGAUUGUAAACAUUUUAGAUGCUGGUAAAGUUGAUUUGGUAAUGAAUGUUGUUGAACGUCCAAGUGGUGGUUUUUCUGCUGGUGGUGGAAUAUCAAGCGGCAUUACAAGUGGCCCUUUAUCAGGACUUAUUGGAAGCUUUGCAUAUUCUCAUAGAAAUUUGUUUGGAAGAAACCAAAAGCUUAAUAUUUCCUUAGAGAGGGGCCAAAUCGACUCUAUAUUCCGCAUUAACUAUACAGACCCAUGGAUUGAAGGAGA